rnacentral:rRNA from 1 species
UCUCUGGAAACGGGGACUAAUACCGGAUAGGUAAUCGGAAGGCAUCUUCUGGUUAUUAAAAGGUUAAAAACACUGGUGGAUGGGCUUAUGGCGCAUUAGUUAGUUGGUGAGGUAACGGCCCACCAAGACGAUGAUGCGUAGCCGGCCUGAGAGGGUGAACGGCCACAUUGGGACUGAGACACGGCCCAGACUCCUACGGGAGGCAGCAGUC